GGAAGGAAAGAAUGGUAAAUUUCAUCCUAAAAUACACAAACAGACAAAAUUACGCACACAAAAAAAUAAUAAAAAAUGUAAUGUAAUGUACAACAACAUUCUUGAAAACCUGUUUUGCUCUCUUUUUCAAUAACUAAAUGCCUUUUUUAGAGGGUUACUCAGAACUGCAUCUUAUUAAAAACCCUAUAUUCUUCAAUACUCUUUUUAUGUUUUUUAGCAAGAGGUAAAAUUAUGCACAACAAACAUUUUUUCAUUAUUUAUUUAUAUUUAUAUAUUUUUUUACAUCUAUAUUUAUAUGCUUUGUUUAUAUAUUUAUAUUUUACAGAAAACGAAGAGCCUGCUCACAAUGAUGCACAUUUUUUUGGGUCAAUCAUUUCACAACAUUUAAUGGACCUAAUGAGGGGUAUUAUAGACUAAUAUAGUUAGUUUCUUUUAAAAUAGUUGGGAAACAGAAAAAUUAGCUUAAAAUAUUUACCUUGACAGAUAAGUAUUCAUGAAGGAAAUUAAAUUCAGCUCAUGCAUUUUGGGUUUCACCCACUACUACUUGCCACUUUUGAUAGUAAGUCAGAAAUGCCACACAAACAACAUAUGGGCGUAAAGUGCCUCAUAGUAGCUAUUAAUGGUUUCCGUAGAACUGGGCUAAAAUUAUGAGAAAGGUGGUUAUGAUCAGUUGUUGUUAAUUAUAACUGCUGCUUUUUUUUUACCAGUAUCUGCCUUCAAAUCUCUUCAUCAUUUUCUUUCUCAGAAUUAGUUUCCCUUAUUUUUAAAAGUGUCAGAAAUAACACUGCCCAAAAUGUUCAGUCUUUUAUGUCAUUAGCCGACAGCAGGUGUUUCGAUGCGGAAAUUCAUUCUUCAAACAGUCUAUGACAUAAGCUUCGAAGCACAAAUAUGGAUACUAUUGUGACUCUCUCAUUUUCUGUCGUAUUCAAAACCACCACUUCUUCUGUUGUGAGAUACACUCGUUAGGAACAAAGAAUUGAGAUCGACAGAUUAGACUUUAAAAAACACAAACCAAUAAGAACAAAAAAUGGAAAUGGGUAUUAGUCUUAAAAUGCCUGGUUGGUGUACCUAUGUUCUUUAACCAGUGUCAAAAUGUUGCCUUUCCUACUCUUUACGUAAACAUUCUCAAGAAUGGAAUUCUGAAGAAAAAAAGAUGUGGAGAGCUGUCAUCUUGAUGCUGGUGGUUGCCCAGGGAGAUGAAAGCAGGGCUGUCAGAUGAUGCUGAGCUGUUUAUUAAAGACAUUUCACCGAUAGGUCAGGGAUGCAUCCAAACAGCUCCACACAUGCUGUCAUCGUACAGCGACACACACAAAGACAGACCCUGCAGCCGUAGCAUUACUAAUUUGCCAUGUAGAUCAUGGUCACAGGAGCAGAAAUCCCAGAGAGGAGUGGGGAAAGGAACAAUGGUUUCUCUGAUGAAGUGCUGGCACUAGUAGUAGGGCAAACCAGAAUCUAAGAGUAUGAUUUAGUCUGAUACGUUGGGUGGAAACAGACACAAAUAAACUAAUCAAACAAGGGGCAAACACUUAAAGCCAUUUAGUAAUAGAAUAAGUUCAAAUAUCAACAAUAAGUGCAGCUUCUGUAGUUUUAUUAGACUAAGUUUUAUUUAAGCUAACUUGGACUGUUCAAAUAACUAAAUUUGUGUUCAAAUUGUGAGCUCCUAAUAAUGACACUAUUGAUGCAACUGACAAAAAAAGAUGAUUGAUAAAGUAUUUAAUAAAGUAAUCAUCUUAUUCUGCUCUUCAAAUGCCGUAACCAUGGUAUUCUCAGACUCAGUGAGCCAGGUUACAUCACUGUGAAUUCAUUAUUGGCUACAAUAAUUCAGAAUUAUUUAUAAAAAACAAAACAAAACAAACAAAAAAAAACAUUGCUAUGCUUUUACUUAGAUGUCCACCUGCUGCCAUGUCAGUGGUGUAUAUAAGUCUUGCAACAUCAUGCUGUGGGAAUAACUUUUUCUCAACAGGGACAAAGACGCUGGUCAGAGUUCGUGGGAAGUUUGAUGCCUGUAAAUACAACGCAAUCCUGGAAGAAAACCUGCAAAAGGCCGGCAGUUUAUCCACAGGUUCAUCCUCCACCAGCACAACAGUCAUAAGCAGAGAGAGAGCUGCAGGAAGUGGAAGGGUUAAGACCCAGGCUGCUCAAAUGCAGUCCUCCAGCUUGCAUGCUUUCAAAAGUUGCAGAAUAGCAUUGUACAGCCCUGGUUUUGAUCAAAGCAUCUUCAUGGGUUUGAAUGGCCAAGUUAAAGUCCUAAACCCAAAUCCAAUUGAAGUCCAACCUGAGUGAGCACAAAUGUUACCCUGUAGAUGUGUAAAACCCCAAAAGACUCACAGUUCUAACUAAGCCUGUCAAAAUAAGCCACUAAUCAACUGAUCAAUUAAUCGCACCAUGAAAUGAACUUGAUCAUUUCCAUUCUGAUAAUUAAUAUUUUUUUUGAAGGGCAACUUGGUUAAUAAUUCUUAAUAAUUCAUUUUAUCUAUGGUUUCAGUAUUUAAGGUUUCAGGUAUUCAGUAUUAUUUUAGAUUGUGUUUUAUUUUGGAUAUUUAAAAUGUGUUCCAGUUCAAGUGCGACAUGUUCUUUAGGAAAUUUUACUAUAAAAAGUUUAUUAGUCUUAUUGGUUGAAAAUGGCCUCAUGACAAUAAUAUUACAGUUUAUUGCAAUAAUCUCUGGGACAAUUUACCAUCCAGCAAAAUUUCUUAAUUUUGCUGGAUGCAAAUUUUGCUAGAUGGUUAAUGACAGUCCUAGCUCUAACUGCAGGAGACAGUGGUUCUAUAAUGUAUUGACUAAAGCUAGGCAAGUGCAAAUAUAUGCCUCAAUUUUCAGAUUUUUAUCUGUAUAGAAAUUGAAAACAUUUAUUCUCAUUUCACUUCAAUAUGGUGCACUGCUGUGUGUUAAUUUAUCAUAUAAAAAAGCAAUAAAAUACAUUAAAAUGUGACCCAAUGUGAAAAAGUUGAAAGAGAGUGGAUAUCUUUGUAAGUUGCAUUAGAUUAAUUUCACCUCAGUGUUAUAUUGUUAUCUUAUAUGUUAUUGUCUUCUGUAUUUAUGACCUUGUGAUGUUUCUUUUAAACUGAUCCCCUGGACCCAGAUUAAUUUUGUUCUCAAGAGCAAACAGGAAGGUGACUACUCAUUUCCAACCAGCUGCCUCUUUCUGUUUCAAAAUAAACGUGUCAUUCCUUGACAGUGUAAAGACGUUUCUACCUGCAUGUGAGAAGUAGCAGAGCUGUGACCAUAUUUUUAUUUCCUUACAUAAAUCACUUUCUCUUCUAUCUCCCUGUCUUUUUCCAAAUAUACACCUCGCCCACCAAACCACGGACAUGUGCACCUAGACAUAUCUAAGCCUACAUCAACAAGAACUUCACCACCCCUGGUAGUGGCAGGCUGAAACCAAGACUUAAGAAAAUAAAUAAUGUGCUACAAUGUGCUGUCUGUGCUCUGCUUUGCCUCCGAGGGAGAAGUCCUCCCAUUUGUAGUCUCUCUCCUUCACCUAAGCAUUUUCAUACAACAAAUCCCAUCAGAAAGGACCCUUCAUACAAGUGUGAGUGUUACAAAAUCACCACAUGGGGAUCAUUUUGCUGCAGUUAAGGACUCUCCGCCUGCUUUUAGUUUGUGAUGUUUGCUCCUUGUGCACUACACCGACUUGUCACCCAGCCUCCACCAGAGGCACAGCUGAGCCGCUUUCUGUACAGGUUUCAACAAGCUUUUCAUUCCAUUCUAUUAAUAUGAUGCUUUUAAUUCCAUUCCUCCGUCAUUCACAACUGGACCUCUCAUCUAUGUUGUUCUUUUUUUGCUUUUGCUUUUGUUUUUUCUUUUUUUUACUUAGCGUAACCCGACGAAUCACAUUGUAAUGGGGAAAGUCAGACCUCUUUGAAGGGGUUGAGAUUUUGGGGCCAGGCCAUAUGAGCUGAGGGAAAUGACCUACUAACUUUUCAAAACAUCUCUGUGGCUGACUUGGGGGGGGGAGCUGAGCUCUCCCGCCAUGAUUGGCAAAAGCUUAAAAAGGUGUUUCAGGGCUCAGUGACGAUGUUAUCACGCAGUAAGCUGCCUUAAUGGACUUCCAACUGUUUGUGUGAAGGACUCCCGUAAUGACAGGGACAAACUGAUAACAGUCUCUGUUACAAACUGCACAAAGGAGCCGUCAGACCAUGUCACGGAUGAUGAGCACAUUCAUUCAGAUAUAUAGACAGCAGUGGCGGAAAUCACACCCACAUGGUCACAUGACUCAUAUUUCCUGGGCCAUCUUCCUCCUUUUAAUGACAUUGGUGGCGGAAAAAAAAUGGCGGCCAGUUCACUCUGUUCCUGUCAGCUUCGGUCUCUUCCCAGCUCUGUGCAGAACAGGUAUUUCCAAAGACACUCCUGCGCCAAAACCAAGCGUCGCUACUGGAGGUGCCCCGACAGGUCGGCGCAGUAAUGCACGCCUGGCAAAGGCUUCCUUUCUCUCAAACUAGCAACCUGAUUUGGUUCCCAUGCUGCAACAGUUUGGAACGAGGAUCUACCCCGUCCCAGAAUCCUGCUGCAGAUUUCCGGUUUUAAAGACAAGCAGUUUGGCACUGCAGAGGACAGCAGCACCCCCUGUGGCCACUAUGACAACUACAAGAGACAUCAGAGGAGCCUAAAAACAUGUGCUUUGAAUACGGCCUCCUGAUCACCUUUGCCUCUUCAAAUAGGUUUGUGGUAAACUCUGCCUGAAUAAAGAACUGCAAUAUGGCUCAUUUUCACAUACUUGUUGUUGCUCAUUAUUCAUCACCUCACAAAGAAAGAAUGUUGUUUUGUCUCCUCUUUCAGACUUGUGGGUUGCCUGCCUUACACACACGCACACACACGCCCAUACACGCGCACACAUAGGAGAAGCAGCAGCCAGAGUGUGUGGUCAUAACCACAUCAUCUACAAGUACCAUGCAUAUAAGGAAACCACAGCAGCAGAAUAAUCAUUGUAUUGAUGAGAGAGGAUGUUGUUUUUCCCUCGUUGUUUUUCUACCACUCAUCCUAUAUCACACUCUUACAUUUUCCAUUUUAUCACAAAAUUACACAUAAUGAAGUGCAAUUUAAAUAGUUGUAUCAGUUCCACUUUCCAGUUUGCAUCAGAAAUGUAAGCUGAUGGUAAUGUACUAUGCCUUGUAAAUGUAUUUGU